UACAGAGGUCUCAAGCGUUGUUCGGAUUCAUUGGGCGUAAAGGGUGCGUAGGCGGCGCGGUAAGUCGGGUGUGAAAUCUCGGAGCUUAACUCCGAAACUGCAUUCGAUACUGCCGUGCUUGAGGACUGGAGAGGAGACUGGAAUUUACGGUGUAGCGGUGAAAUGCGUAGAUAUCGUAAGGAAGACCAGUGGCGAAGGCGGGGUCUCUGGACAGUUCCUGACGCUGAGGCACGAAGGGUCAGGGGAGCAAAACGGGG
rnacentral:rRNA from 1 species